CGAACAGACGAGGAGCUUGCUCCUCUGACGUUAGCGGCGGACGGGUGAGUAACACGUGGAUAACCUACCUAUAAGACUGGGAUAACUUCGGGAAACCGGAGCUAAUACCGGAUAAUAUAUUGAACCGCAUGGUUCAAUAGUGAAAGACGGUUUUGCUGUCACUUAUAGAUGGAUCCGCGCCGCAUUAGCUAGUUGGUAAGGUAACGGCUUACCAAGGCAACGAUGCGUAGCCGACCUGAGAGGGUGAUCGGCCACACUGGAACUGAGACACGGUCCAGACUCCUACGGGAGGCAGCAGUAGGGAAUCUUCCGCAAUGGGCGAAAGCCUGACGGAGCAACGCCGCGUGAGUGAUGAAGGUCUUCGGAUCGUAAAACUCUGUUAUUAGGGAAGAAUAAAUGUGUAAGUAACUAUGCACGUCUUGACGGUACCUAAUCAGAAAGCCACGGCUAACUACGUGCCAGCAGCCGCGGUAAUACGUAGGUGGCAAGCGUUAUCCGGAAUUAUUGGGCGUAAAGCGCGCGUAGGCGGUUUUUUAAGUCUGAUGUGAAAGCCCACGGCUCAACCGUGGAGGGUCAUUGGAAACUGGAAAACUUGAGUGCAGAAGAGGAAAGUGGAAUUCCAUGUGUAGCGGUGAAAUGCGCAGAGAUAUGGAGGAACACCAGUGGCGAAGGCGACUUUCUGGUCUGUA
rnacentral:rRNA from 1 species